CGAAAGCACGUGNGAUCACGGAACCAAUCAAAACCAGUGAAGUUAUCAUAUGACCCAAUCAUAGUAAGAGAUGUCUCUAGUAGAUCAUUCCUGAGAACUUAAUUCGUUUAUCGUAAAGAUUCGUAUCAUACGACAUAGGAAAACCCGAAAGAUAUCAUAGGCUCUUCCACUAGCAUCACGGAAUCCUCAUCAGUUGGUAGCAGCUAUCCUAGAGGUAUUUAAAACAAUGGUUUGUCUAAGCCUAUUAUGUCGGUGUUUAAAUAGUCCUAAUCAAGUACUUCUAGCCCACAACAGUUUCCGAAAUUUUGUUAUUGUUUACUGUUAAUUGAAGUCGAGGAUUGUUGAUAGUGUGGAGCUGAAAAUCCCUUGGGAACGGCGGAGACUAAAGUAAGAUGUCACUAGAUACUUGCGCAAAUAUAAUAUAAUGCCAUGAAUUUAGUAAAGGGAUGACCUUGUAGUUUGACACCAACGUGCUGACGGAGACAUUGAAGCAAGAGUUUUCCUGGAACGUAACAUUUUCUCUUUGUUUUCUUUUUGUGUAGGCCAUUUUGAGGCUGUCGAAGCGCUUGGGAGAUGGCAAUAGCGAUGAAAUCCUACUCUUUAGUGUUCAUUUGUAUCUGUAUUACCUGGGAGAAGCAUUGUCAAGGAGAGUCAAAAUCGUCUGCAGUCAUCGUUUCUACAAAAUAUGGGCUGCUUAAGGGACAAACUAGGUAUUUUCCUCAGCCUGUAGGAAACAUAUCUGUCGUUAAUAAGUUUCUAGGUGUACCGUACGCUGCUCCUCCAAUUGGGGAGCUGAGAUUUCUUCCUCCGCAAAAACCNAAACAUUGGAAAGGAGUCUACGAUGCCACUCGGUUCAAACCAGUCUGCUAUCAGGAUCCAUCUUAUAAUCAAAUGUUUUGGAAAAAAGAUGUCAAUUGGUCACAGAGCGACGAUUGUUUGUAUCUAAACGUCUAUGCGCCCAGUACUACCUUAUCGCAUGCACGCUAUCCCGUGAUGGUCUACAUCCACGGAGGUGGUUAUGAGGCAGGAUCUCCAGUGGUCAGCCCUGGUGAUGCUCUACCCAUGUGGGAAGUCGUACUGGUGACAAUUCAAUAUCGCCUUGGGCCUUUUGGCUUCAUUAGCACUGGUGACUCCGCCGCACCUGGAAAUUACGGGAUGCUGGAUCAGAUCGAGGCUUUAAAAUGGAUUCAGCUCACUAUCGAAGCGUUCAAAGGCGAUCCGUCGAGAGUGACAAUAUUCGGUGAGAGUGCGGGUGGCUCCAGUGUUGGUCUUCUACUUCUGUCACCUCUCAGUACAGGACUUUUCCACAGAGCUAUCGCUCUUAGUGGGAACGACUUCUCUCCUUUUGCGGUNAACGGGCGGGAAGAAGCAGUUGGUUUGACACAAGGAAUAGCUGAGCGCAUUAAGUGUCCAAUUGGAGACAAUGCUAAGAUGAUUAGCUGUAUGCGUCGAGCUGACGCUAAUUCAAUUUGGUUGUCGCAUGAUGCAAACAAAUGGCGUCCCGUAGUCGAUGGAAUUUUCUUGGAAGACACCCCUCAGAAUAUUAGAAAGGCCAACAAAUCUCACCCCUAUCCUCUAAUCGUAGGGUUAACAAGCAAUGAGGGGGCAUAUUUUUUGGCAGAAAGGGUUUACAAUAAUAUAGACUCCACAACGUUCCGUUCAUAUUUAAUGGCCUUUUUUGGAGACAUCAGUAGAUAUUCCCGAAAGUGGCGACCAUUUGACGUUUCUGAGAGCUUGAAAGACGCAAUAGUUUUUCAAUACACCCCUUGGCCUGANACAAAAAAUAUAACUCGACUAAGACGAGGGUUAAUUGAUAUGAUAACCGAUUAUAGUAUUGCAGCACCUGCACACGCGGUUUUGGACCUGCACACCAAUGCUGCACCAGGUUANCUCUUCGUCUUCAGCCAUNGGUCCAANCUCACCAAUCUACCAUCUUGGAAAGGAGCGACGCAUAAAGACGACACACCCUACGAGUUUGGUUUUCCUUUUAUGAAUCUCACUGUUCUCCAACAUUACGACGAACAUGAUAAAAAUGUCAGCUCCAUCAUGAUCACUCUGUUCACGAAUUUCGCACGCACUGGAAAUCCUACUCCACAGCCUGUAGCAGGCUGCACAUGGACACCAUUCAACGAAAACAACAAUCCGUAUUUGAACAUCACAGCAAAGCCUGAAAUGCGAAAUAAUUUUCACAUUAGAAACAUUGCAUUCUGGAACAAGUAUUACCCAAAGGUUCUUAACUUUACAUCUUGUAAGAAAACGAACGUACGAGCAUCGACGUCGGGCAACAGUAGAAGCUAUAGACUUGAUUUUCAACACUUGUUGACUUUAAUGAUAAUUUCAUUCAUCGUAGGAAUGCAGUACUUAUAGCGUCGCAGUCUUCAAUGUAUCAUGAAAUAUGUUCACCGAAGGCGAGAGGCACACUAUGACGCGGAUCGCGCGUCAACAGAGAGUUUUGAUGAAGGGAAAUUCUGCGUGAGUUACACGUUAUCCUUGACGUGCUUCAUGGAAGGAUUUGCUCACAUCUUGCCGACAGUGCCGUGAAAGGGCUUGAUGAACAGGGACAAGGUUAAAGCAAUUUGGUCAACUUGAAAUGCUCGUUUCAGGGGCGGAUCCAGGACUUGGACUCAUGGAGGGGUGCUGCGCACAAAGUUAACCCAGGAAGGGGUGCACCUCUUAGAAUCAAAAGGAAAAAACAGUAAAGGUUAUCUUCAAAGUAGGGGCACAAAGUCGAAGCAGGGAGGGGUGCCCACCCCCUGCACCCCUCCCCUGGAUCCGCCCCUGCGUUUCUGGGUGUUGGUAGUUAUUUUGUAUUCACAAUAAGCUGCAGAUAAUUUAUUUAAUACUGCAAUUUGAUUUUUAUUGAUUUUGAUAUAUUUGAGUACAAAAUAUCGGGUAUUACUUGCAGGGUAGCCACACCCGUCAUGUCUAAAUCUGGUCCAGUAAGAUGAUAAUUGCUUUAACCUCAUCCCCAUUUAUACUUCAUUAAUCAUUAAGUAUUCUAACAUUUACAUACUCUAGAAUAAGUACACAUAUCUCAUGGUAUAUACACAUAUAUAUAUUAUAAAAUUAUCUCUAUAUAUUUAAUCAUAUUAAUAGAUAUUAAUUAGCAAUAUGGGUUAGAAAUAGAUCUUUUUCUCAAGGUUGCGCGCUCAUAUAAAUUUAAGAAACUUGACGGGCCACGAUACCAGGACAGGGGCAGUAUAAUAAGAAUUAUCAUACAUUGCUAUGAGAUUUAAAGAAUCGAUUAUUAACUGGCUUCUCAGUUUUACUGAAUUUGCGUUUUUCAGUUUUAUGGCCCGUCAAGAUUGGAUGCGCACGCAACCUUGAGAAAACGGUCUAUUGAAAGGUGGGGNAAAAUUAUUGGGUACCCGUAGUCAGUGGAGAUCAUUAUAAAAAUAGUGUACAUUAAUAUUAUUGCCAUUGUAGUAAUAUUAGGAUUUUUGUUCGUUUAGUAUUAGUAAUAAUAUAUCUCAUUUCCUUGGGCGUACUGUUUUCUAAUUCCGAUUUUAGACCACUUCUUGAACAUUUUCUUGAGAAUAAGUUUGUUUGAGUUGUACAUACUCAUGUGUGUUUUUAUGUGCAAUCAUUAAACAAAGAAACAAUACUCUAGGGAAUGACAUGUGGUCUGAAAUGGGAAAACAUUACGCCCAAGGUAAAGAGGUCUAUAGCUUUUAGUUAUUUAACAAACCCAACAAACAUGAAUCACGAGAAGACUUACCCUCAUCUCAUAAAGCUCGUGCAGGAAUGAGCCCUGCUGAUUCCCAAUCUGGGGGUUGGAAUAAAAGAAUAGACCGUUCUCUGCUCUGACGCGAUGUUUUCCCAUUUCAGACCACGUGUCAUUCCCUAGAGUAUCAUUUCUAGGUUUGCGCUCGGUUGCUCAUGAGAAGAAUAUGGAUACAACUCAAACAAAGAAUAUUAUUCUCAAUGGAAUGACAUGUGGUCUGAAAUGGGACAACAUUACGCUCGAGCGCUCCAGAGCCGAGGAGGUCUAUUGACGCACCCUUGCUCGGUCUUUUGCUCAUCUUUAUGUGAAUAUGGUGCAUAUUGUCUAUAGUCUCCCCGAAAAAGAAGGCUUGUGAAUCAUGCAGUAGAAAAUAUCAAGAAGCUAAAAAUAAAACGUUAAUUUUAAAUACUUCA
rnacentral:misc_RNA from 1 species